AAUAAAUCAAUUUUUCACCUUUUACUUAUAAUUUUUAACUCUUCGUCUUAUUUAAACUUUUUUGUGAUUGAUGUUUUUAUUUUUAUUAGAUGAUAAAUCAGGAAUAGUAUUUUACGUGUGACUAAUUUUUUUCUAAUUUUCUAAAAAUAAUUUAAAUAAGACGGAUGGUCAAACGUUGGAUACAGAAACCGAAG
rnacentral:pre_miRNA from 1 species